ACCCAAUGAUGUGGACUUUUAUAGAGCAGGUCCCUAAAGUGCUCCCAAGUCUCAAAAAUGAGUUCCCCAUCCAUCUGUGAGAAACUUGAGAUGGCUCUCCGAAACUGGUU